AUUGAACGCUAGCGGGAUGCCUUACACAUGCAAGUCGAACGGAGUGGCGAACGGGUGAGUAAUGUAUCGGAAUCUGCCUGGUAGUGGGGGAUAACGUCCGGAAACGGGCGCUAAUACCGCAUACUCUCAGAUGAGCCUAGGUCGGAUUAGCUCGUUGGUGGGUGAAAGGCCUACCAAGGCGACGAUCCGUAACUGGUCUGCGAGGAUGAUCACUCACACUGGAACUGAGACACGGUCCAGACUCCUACGGGAGGCAGCAGUGGGGAAUAUUGGACAAUGGGCGAAAGCCUGAUCCAGCCAUGCCGCGUGUGUGAAGAAGGUCUUCGGAUUGUAAAGCACUUUAAGUUGGGAGGCGUUACCAACAGAAUAAGCACCGGCUAACUUCGUGCCAGCAGCCGCGGUAAUUC
rnacentral:rRNA from 1 species